GUCGGUUCGCGGGACCGUCACUCCGCUCGAAGUCCAGCAUUGAGUAUGGUUAUCACUGGAUUUGGCCCAUAGAGGGUGAGAGGCCCGUACGAGUGGAGGUUCAGACAUGUAUGACGGUUCACCAGGCCGACCUCAGAGUCGGGUUGUUUGAGAUUGCAGCCCAAAGAGGGUGGUAAACUCCAUCCAAGGCUAAAUACUGACACGAGUCCGAUAGCGAACAAGUACCGUGAGGGAAAGUUGAAAAGUACUCUGAAGAGAGAGUAAACAGUACGUGAAGCCGCAUGCAGGUAAACGGGUGGCGUCAAGCUGCGAGCCCGGAGGAUUCAACUGAUUAGGAUGUAGUGUACGCGCGCCUGGUGCGUCGAGAGACCGGAAUAAGAUGUUUGGCGGUCCGCUCCUCUGCUGGGAGUGGGGCGCUAUCAGUGUGCACGCGAAAGCGUGCCUGCUGGUUGUCGCUAUGCAUGCCGGGUGGGUGCCGGAGCAUGCCGCUCAUCUGUUGGGUCACCUAGUCAGUGCAUUUUCUCCGCGGUGAACACCACGACCGGUGGAACUGCCAGUCUGCUGUCAUCAAGUCGUGUUCAUCUGACCCCUCCCUCCCUCUCGCUCCUUCGUGGGUGAUGGGUGGAUGUGUGKAACUGCCAGUCUGCUGUCAUCAAGUCGUGUUCAUCUGACCCCUCCCUCCCUCUCGCUCCUUCGUGGGUGAUGGGUGGAUGUGUGUGUUGGGUGGGUACGAUCGCAGAUGGAGUCGGUGGACGGCGCAGUGGUGUCUCGGCAUCGCCGCGUGUUAUCGUGCACUCUCUGUCCUAAGCGAUUAGUGGGGCUGACCGAGCGCUGUAACUGCCUCCCCAUUGAUCGGCGGAUGGCAGUGGUAAAAGUGACUGUGCAGGGCACCGGAGUUGUCCACCUCAUUCAUUUAUUCAUUCGUGAAUGAGUGAAAAUGGCACCCGACACGCACGUUACAGGUGCUAUGCAAUCGGGGCGCGCCGCUGCCUGUCGGGUGUUGGGCCUGACCGUCGUGUUGCCUGCGCAAAGUGGGUCCGGCGGUGGUUUCAGACACUUGGCAAUGGUGGUGUGUAGCGCGUCUCGGGUGUGUGUGGUGCCGGGGGUGAAAUAGUCAGUGGUGCUGUGGUAGACGAGCUACCCGACCCGUCUUGAAACACGGACCAAGGAGUUUAACAUGUGUGCGAGUCAAAGGGUCCUACGAAACCCCGAGGCGUAGUGAAAGUGAAGUUCAUGCUGUACUUCUGUGCAUACGCAGUGCAGUGUGGCGAGGUGAGAUCUCCUUGUGCUCAUGACACACGCCGCAGACCUUACUGGGCAAUAUUGGGGCAAGGAGCGCAUCACCGGCCCGUCGCAUGUUGUGGUCAUAGGUGUACUUGUACGCUGAGGGGUGCGUGUGCGUGUUUCGGCGCGUGCAUGUACUUGGAGGUGUGCAAAGCCUGUGC
rnacentral:rRNA from 1 species